rnacentral:lncRNA from 1 species
UCUCCAACCACGCGUGUAUGACUGCGCGGCGUCUUCGCGCCUUGUUUCUUGUUCGCACGGCGUUAGUUGACGGUGGAGGUGUGCUGUGCAGCGACGAGCUUCUAAUUCAAGUUGAAAUAGAAGAUCAGCUAUUUCUCCCUAGAAGAUGGCAGCAGUGCUAAAGACUCCAUGCACAGGGAGCUUGUAUCUAAAAUGGUCGUACAGAAGUACAGCUGGGUUUCUGAGAACAAAUUAGCAUUUAAAAGCCUGGCAAAUGUGCUGCUGUUUCUCCUUGGUGCCAGACAUACCCUCUUCAACACAACUGACGCAGCUGUUUCGGACAUAACAAAAAGGCGGCUCAUGUUCGCUGUGGAUCAAGAAGGUGCACUUAUGCAAAGACGGCAUGCCACCUUGAUGCAACAGAAGCCCAAGCAACACUUUAUAAUCGCAAGAGUUCAGGAAGGAAUAUAAAAAUGGUGUAUUGCCUUGUAUAUAUUCAGUGUAAAAUAAACCUGA